UGAAAAUAUGGCGUGUUGUAGGUGUGAGAGAAAAGUAUGCGCUAAUUUUAAGGUAAUAAUUUAUUAGGUGAGAUUAGAAUAAUGUGGAAUCCUACCAAAAAUAAAAAAUUGGGAGUAUGCAUUUAUAAUUAUGAUGGAAACACAAAAUAUGGACUUCCACUUGAAAUUGGUGAGACUGUGCAAAUCUUAGAAGAAUGUAGUGGAUGGUUUCGUGGUUUUUCUA